rnacentral:rRNA from 1 species
GAUGAACGCUGGCGGCGUGCCUAAUACAUGCAAGUCGAGCGAACAGACGAGGAGCUUGCUCCUCUGACGUUAGCGGCGGACGGGUGAGUAACACGUGGAUAACCUACCUAUAAGACUGGGAUAACUUCGGGAAACCGGUGCUAAUACCGAAUAAUAUAUUGAUCCACAUUGUUCAAUAGUGAAAGACGGUUUUGCUGUCACUUAUCGAUGUAUCCGCGCCGCUUUAGCUAGUUGGUACGUUAACGGCUUACCAAGGCAACGAUGCGUAGCCGACGUGAGAGGAGGGUCGGCUACACUGGAACUGAGACGCGGUCCAGACUACUACGGGAGGCAGCAGAAGGGAAUGUUCCGCAGUGGGAGAGAGCCUGACGGAGCAACGCCGCGUGAGUGAUGAAGGUCUUCGGAUCUUAAAACUCUGCUAUUAGGGAAGAACAAAUGUGUAAGUAACUAUGCACGUCUUGACGGUACCUAAUCAGAAAGCAACGGCUAACUACGUG